rnacentral:rRNA from 1 species
GCUAAGUGCGUGCCAGAGGCGUGGGUAGUGGUGUGGGGGGGCGCGUUGUGCUGAUUGACUGUGCGGAAAGGGUGCGGUGGCGGCCGUGUAGUGCAGGAGUGAAUGCCCCGGGGUCAACCUGGGAACGGCGCUUGGUACGGCGAGGCUGGAGUUCGGGAGAGGAGAGUGGAAUUCCCAGUGUAGAGGUGAAAUUCGUAGAUAUUGGGAAGAACACCGGUGGCGAAGGCGGCUCUCUGGACCGAGACUGACGCUGAGGCGCGAAAGCGUGGGGAGCAAACAGGAUUAGAUACCCCAGUAGUC